GUCAUCCAGUUUCUCAUGUAGAAACUACACACGACAAAUCGGAAGUUCGACUCGGAGCUCAGCAGAGAGAUCAACAAAACAAAAAUUCUAAAAAAAAAUGUAGUUCAAGUUGAUUUAAAUUCUUUGCUUGGUUUUAGCUUGUUUUGGUUUGUCUUUCGAGACGGCCCUUAGAAUAUCUAGAGCAGCCGAAGCACAGAUCUGUUAUAUUAGUUGUAAAUACUGGAGAUAUCUUCAGACCCUGUUCUUGUUUGUUCCUACCAGUAUAUUGCCAGACUAAAUAGUUCAAGGAAACUCUUCAAAGUGGAUAGCGUGCUGCAAAAUUAUAUGUCUGUUUCAUUUCUAAUAAAGCAAAUGUAUUUUACACAUUAAA